UUCCCCCACCUAGGAACAAGGAGCCGAUAUCAGGCACAAUACCUGCCCAAAACAUCUAGCCAUGCCACACCCACAAGGGCCCUCAGCAGUGAUUAACAUUAAAAAUAAACGUCAGUUAGAUCUAGCCAAUGUAAAUUAGAGCCGGCUAAUCUGGUGCCAGCCGCCGCGGUUACACCAUGUGGCUCAAAUUGAUUCCGAUACGGCGUAAAGCGUGAUUAAAGUGAGAAACUACUGGGGUUAAACUUGAACUAAGCUGUAGCACGCCUGUUCUCAAGAAAGCCUUACCUCGAAAGAUACCCCAACUCAUCAACUUGAACUCACGACAACUGGGACACAAACUGGGAUUAGAUACCCCACUAUGCCUAGUCAUAAACUUUAACCUACACCCGCAUCGCCAGGGGACUACGAGCAAAGCUUAAAACCCAAAGGACUUGACGGUACUCCACAUCCCCCUAGAGGAGCCUGUCCUAUAAUCGAUACUCCCCGUUUAACCUCACCAUUUUUAGUUUAUCAGCCUGUAUACUUCCGUCCCAGCUUACCGCGUGAGCGAGUCAGUAGACUUAAUGUCACCCACCAAUACGUCAGGUCAAAGUGCAGCAAAUAAAAUGGCAAGAGAUGGGCUACACUUUCUACUUUAGAAAACACGAAAGACUAUGUGAAACCAUAACCAGAAGGUGGAUUUAGCAGUAAGAGAACAAUAGAAUACUUCUCUUAACCCGGCACUGGAGUGUGUACACACCGCCCGUCACCCUCUUC
rnacentral:rRNA from 1 species